rnacentral:lncRNA from 1 species
GUGUGUUACAUCACCACUCGCCGAGGAAAGCGUGAUUAUGUCAGUGUGUGAGAUGCAGCAGAUGAUCUAUGGGGGAGGGAGACACUCAAAACGCUUUCUAACCGGAGGAGGGGCUUUAAUUCAUCUGUAAAGGAGAAAGGUGAGGAUGGUUGUAAGGAUCUGAUGGAGGCGUUUGCUGCCUGUGUGAAGAGCAAUGCUGAGGCAUCAUGAGGAGCUCAACAUGCAGGAAAAGGGUUAACUGCACUGAGUCCUCCACCUUCCCAGCAUUCCCUGCAGCUCAUGGCACUGGACUAAAUGAUGGGGUUUGGCUGCAGAGACCAUUCUUGUGUCUCUUCCCUUCUCCACCCCUCCUGUGAAGCUUAAAUGGAUUCCUUCUACCACCAACCUUCCCUCCCCUUUUUGUGGCUGAUUGUAUUGAUCUGAUUUGUAGAUCGUUCGGAGCUCAUGAAUUGAUGUAAAUGAUGUGUCUCAGAUGCUUACAAAAUGGAAUAAAGAUUUUAAAAUGGUCCAAUGUGUA